rnacentral:rRNA from 1 species
UACGGGGGGGGCAAGCGUUGUUCGGAAUUACUGGGCGUAAAGGGCUCGUAGGCGGCCAACUAAGUCAGACGUGAAAUCCCUCGGCUUAACCGGGGAACUGCAUCUGAUACUGGAUGGCUUGAGUUCGGGAGAGGGAUGCGGAGUUCCAGGUGUAGCGGUGAAAUGCGUAGAUAUCUGGAGGAACACCGGUGGCGAAGGCGGCAUCCUGGACCGACACUGACGCUGAGGAGCGAAAGCCAGGGGAGCAAACGGG